GGUCAUGGCGACAAAAAAAAAACACACACAUUGCCCAACGCUCUUUGAGUACUGAGUAAACAAGGCAGAGGCAGUCGCCUCUCUUCAGCAGAAGCAGAUGAUUCAAUGUGUGAUAUUUGAUGGUGGAUCGAGCGGUUGGUGAUUAUGAAAUAAAAUACAAUUCAAAUCACAAUCGCCUAUACAUAUAGUCAAAUGCUCUAAAAAUCGAAACAACUACAAUAAAAUCUUUCAUUUGCUUGUUAUAAUUCAGAGAUGAAAAUGCUGAUUGGAAUCGGUAAAAAAGAUGAUUGAGAAGGGGAGGAAAUGGUGUCGGAGACGCCAACACAGGCCAGCGGGAUAACGGUACAUGAACGCACACUCAAACACUCAAACAAACACACACAGGCCGAAACAAUUGCUGUUGUCCAGCUCGAGAGCUCGAAUUCGAAUUUCGAACUCAAACUUAUUCAAGUGGAAACCAAUUGGCAUUUCAAUCACGCAUCAAUCUGGCACGUUUUUAUGAUGCAGAUCACAAGGCGAAGCGAAGCAGCACAGCAACAGGCACAAGCACAGGCAGCUACAACAAUGUUGCUCAUGAUUAUCAACAUGAUGAUCAUGUUGCUGUGGAAUGAGGAUGAGAAUGACGAACUGGACACAGCACGAGGCAGCAGCACACAGACUGGACAUGACUGGACUCCUCCCUUGCAGAGAGUAAUGCCAUUUUUAAAAGAAUUUUGUAACGAAAGGAAGAAACCCACAUGAAAUAUAUGCUCAGAUGUAUUCCUGUAGAAGGUGAUUUCCACAGCGAAACGAUAUAUCCAUGAUGAAAUAUUAUCAAAAUCUGAUCACUAAAUCGUACAGCUGUCGGAAGAUGAACAAAUUCGAAUCACUCCACUCUGGUGUCAUGGUAAUAAUGAUGGCAAGAGUAUCCAAGCUUCGAUUCGUGUGGCAAGUUGAAAAAUGAAAUUUUUAUUGGUCGGUUAAGUUUUCGUUACAUUUCGUGGUUUGUUAUAAAUUUCAUUGAUAAUUGCCAUAUAUUGAUGGCAUGAUUAUGUGCAUGAUUGUCUGAUUGUUACUGUUACUGU